GGGUUGUGAGGUUAAGCGACUAAGCGUACACGGUGGAUGCCCUGGCAGUCAGAGGCGAUGAAGGACGUGCUAAUCUGCGAAAAGCGUCGGUAAGGUGAUAUGAACCGUUAUAACCGGCGAUGUCCGAAUGGGGAAACCCAGUGCAA
rnacentral:rRNA from 2 species